rnacentral:rRNA from 1 species
CCUACGGGUGGCAGCAGUGAGGAAUAUUGGUCAAUGGACGAGAGUCUGAACCAGCCAAGUAGCGUGAAGGAUGACUGCCCUAUGGGUUGUAAACUUCUUUUAUAUGGGAAUAAAAUGUUCCACGUGUGGGAUUUUGUAUGUACCAUAUGAAUAAGGAUCGGCUAACUCCGUGCCAGCAGCCGCGGUAAUACGGAGGAUCCGAGCGUUAUCCGGAUUUAUUGGGUUUAAAGGGGGCGUAGGUGGUUUGUUAAGUCAGUUGUGAAAGUUUGGGGCUCAACCGUAAAAGUGCAGUUGAAACUGGCAGUCUUGAGUACAGGAGAGGUGGGCGGAAUUCGUGGUGUAGCGGUGAAAUGCUUAGAUAUCACGAAGAACUCCGAUUGCGAAGGCAGUUCACUGGACUGCAACUGACACUGAGGCUCGAAAGUGUGGGUAUCAAACAGGAUUAGAUACCCGGGUAGUC